UGACAUGCAGCCUCCUCCAAUUGGGUGUGUUCAUGAUUUGACCCAGGCCGCCCUCCUCCAUCACCUCAUUGCUUCACGAUGUCUUCACCUACUCAGACCUUCGGCUUCCUCCUCAUCUGGUUCUCAUAUCAGAUCCUGAUGGGAGCAGCGGCAAAAACCUGCAGGAUGCCGCGAAUGAUGAUCCUGCUUCUCCUCAUCUUGCCUCAGUAUCAAGCCAAGAGCGUGCAAUUUCAACCAACUGAUCCCAAAAUAGUCAACACGGCAGACAAAGUGGAGUUCCACUGUCGUCACGACGACAGCGGUCUAAACGUUAUGCUCUGGUACCAGCAGACAGACACCGGUGCUAUGGAGCUGAUUGGAUACAGCUACGUCGGGAGUGAAGCGGUCUAUGAGAAAGCCUUUGAAAGCAGGUUCAAGAUUACAAGACAAGACACCCAGACAGGAGGCCUGAACAUCGACGACGCCUCUGCCUCAGACUCCGCCGUGUAUUUCUGCGCUGGCAGUACACAGUGAUGUGGUUUAAUGAAACCUCAUGACUAAAAGUCCUACCCGUUUCAGAAAGCUUCAAGUUGGGUUGCCUUUGUCUAAUGAUUACCGAUUUCUAUGGAAUCACUCAACUGUAUUUGAGAUUUUUGUAAUUUUUCCUUCUAUGUUCUUUUCGUUUUCAUUAUUUUACUUUUACAAACUCAAACGACUGCAAUGUUGAAUUUACCUACAUUUUUGGAAAGACCAGCAGUGUGAAAAUCCGUCUGUCCGUCCGUUCAGGAUGGGCUCUUACAUUUCUUGACGUUUAUGCCAUUUCAAAGGAGUGUUAUUUUCUAAACAUGGACACUGCCGUCUUAUUUUUCCCCUUCUUUCCAUCAUGCUACUAUUAGCCGUGUUUCCAUUUCAAAUGUUUUUAAAACUUUGUCAAUAUUCUGUUGUUGUCAAAAAACCACAAUUUAGCAAUUCCUGUUGCCAUUAAAUAAGAAAUGCAAUUAAAAUCACACAGAAUAAGUUUGUUCACGGCAUGAUCCUCAAUCCACUACUGCUUGACCUCUUCUUCAUGGUUGGCGCCAGUGACAACAUCCGGUUGUUGAUCAUGUGACUCGUAAUGCAAA